rnacentral:snRNA from 1 species
AUCGCUUCUCGGCCUUUUGGCUAAGAUCAAGUGUAGUAUCCUUUCAAAGAACCAGCUCUUGGUUUUGUUGAUCUUUUGUAUUGUUUUUUUUUUUUUGGUCUCUCU